GACAGAGGAUGCAAGCGUUAUCCGGAAUGAUUGGGCGUAAAGCGUCUGUAGGUGGCUUUUUAAGUCCGCCGUCAAAUCCCAGGGCUCAACCCUGGACAGGCGGUGGAAACUACCAAGCUGGAGUACGGUAGGGGCAGAGGGAAUUUCCGGUGGAGCGGUGAAAUGCGUAGAGAUGUGGAGGAACACCGAUGGCGAAGGCAGCCCCCUGGGUCAAGAUUGACGCUCAUGCACGAAAGCGUGGGGGAGCAAACAGG
rnacentral:rRNA from 1 species